CGUUUUGCAAACAUGUUUUGAUUUUGUUGUUGUCAAAUGCCACUGUAGCAAAUAAUAAAAUCAGGCCGAGAAUUAAUUGCCACAGAAAUCAAAAAGUUAGGCGCAAAAGUUUUUAGCCAUUCCUGUUCCGACAGCAGGCGGCAGGCGGCAGGCGGCAAAAACAAAAAGGCCAUAAACGAACGAAAAAAGAAACAGGCAACUUCGGAAUGGCUUGGAAUGGUGAGCCAUUUUGCUGUAAUAAUCGAAACUUUUGCGCCAAACAAACUGAACAACACCACUCAAAGCGGCAAGUCCUUACGGUUCAGCUCGACGGGGGCGGCGCAAAUACACCGAAGGGACGUUUGCGGAGUUCGCCAGUGCUGCUGAGUGCACGAAUGGCGAGGGCGGUCUGAGUGGGGAGCUGCGUGAGUUCGCUGCGUAAACGAAGGAAUGAUUGAGUGUCUGAUGGCGGGAGCGUGCUUUUGCUGCAACGCGUGUGGCCACUGAGUGCUCCGCAUAGUCUCCUGCCUCCAUGUAACACACUUAGCUAUCUAUCUAUAUAUAGUACAUAUGUUUGCCCAAAUUGUGCGUAAAUUUCGUGAAAUUUUAAUUAUUACGAAUGUCUGUAAUAAAACUUCAUUAAAAUAA